CGAAGGCAUCGAGCACAUUCGGAAAGGAGACAAGAUCUCCCAGUUUCUGGCUGAAGCCAAAUUUCUCUUCCUCAACAUCAAGUAUCUGGUGCCGUUUCUGCUGAACCAAAGCGGGUCAGUGGUCUUCUACCUCACCCUGGCUACAACAGGUCACUUACACUUACCUUAUGUCUUUAAGCUCAGACCGUCAUAGUCGCAUUCCAUUAUGUGAAAUGAUGUAGAAGAGGCUUUAUUGAUUCUCACCCCGUCGGAUAUUGCAGAUCUGUCUCUGGCCGUACCGACGGUCAACUCGCUCAGCCUGGUGUUCACCAUGUUCACUGGGAGACUGCUCGGGGAAGAAUGCGGAGGAAAAAGUGGGUCUGAUUGUUUCCGUUUCUCUUUCUGAUUCAGUUCACAUUCAAACUGAUGAGACGAGGCGGUGAUGAGUGACCUUAACCGUUUCAGUGGAAAUGAAGUGAUGAAAAAUUUGUGGGGGUUUUUGAGGUCAUGUAUUAACACACGCUCCUCAUUUCUCCAUUCGAGCUAACAAGCACAAACAUCUCAACACCUUGUGUGUUAUAUACCUGAGUGCUCCAUGUUUACAUGAUGACAGCAUUCUCUCUUUCCCUCUCCCUCUCCCUUCCUCCCGCUCUCUUCCUCACUCCCCCUCACCCCCUCUCUCCCUCUCAGGUGCGAUAUUGGGGAUGGUCCUGAUCACAACUGGUGUGACAUUGUGUGUGUUGAGUUCUGUCUCAGAGAGCAACAGUGAGGGACUCAACACCACGCCAUAACUCCAUGACACCAUGACGUGUUGUCAUCAUUGUUCACCUGACACUUCUCCUGUUGUAAAUAUGUGUAGCGUUUAACCAAAUAUUGAACGAAAAAAGAAUUCACCUUCCUCACGACUUUAAGCAAGGACUAGUGUAUAGAUAGAUAUAAAUAGACUGUAAACACCACCUGCCUGGAAGCUGUCCAUGUGGGACACCUAGUGGCCAGAAGGAGUAGCGAAAGGGAUACAGAAGACAGGACAUCUAUGAUCACGUCCAUCUGUGUGUAUAUACAGUUUUAUGCAAAAGUUUGGGCUCCCCACUAUGGCUUUAUAAUAAUGUGCUCUUUCUCUACAAAAAAAGAUUGUAGUGAUAUGCCAUUAUUAUUUUUUUUUUAGAGAAGGCUGGAUAAUGUGAUGUUUUUCAGACAGAAAUUCUCAGUGUAGCAGUACUGUGUUGUGUAAAAUAACUGGCCAAUAUCUGGCCACCCUCUCAUUGGUGUGGAUUUGAAUACAUGUAGUCACUUAACACUUACUAAUUGAUUGCAAUAGAAAGGAAAAAAGAAACAGGUUAAACCAAUCAUGAAAAAAUAUAUUAAAAGGUAGCUGAGUGGUAGUUGUGCUUUUCCUUCAUUUCUAUGGAACGGUAGCAACAUGGGAACCUCAAAAGAACACUCUAAUGACCUAAAAACUAGGAUAAUUCAUCAACAUAAAUUAGGAGAAGGAUACAAAAAGUUGUCAGAAAGGUUUAAAGUCUCUUUCUCCACAGUUAGAAAUAUGGUUAGGAAAUGGAAGGCCACAGGAACAGUCAUUGUGAAAGAAAGAUGUGGCAGACCAAGAAAGAUAUCUGAAAGGUAAAGUCAAAGAAUAGUUAGAAUUGUCAUGGUGAAACCACAAACCACCUCCAAAGAGCUCCAAGAACAUCUUGCUGCUGACAAUGUCAUUGUACAUCGUUCUACAGUCCAGCGAACUUUGCACAAGGAACAGCUCAAUGGAAGGAUGAUGCAGAAAAAGCCUUUCCUGCGUACUGCUAACGAGCAGAGUCGUUUACGGUAUGCAAAGGCUCAUCUGGACAAGCCAGAAUUGUUUUGGAAUAAUGUCCUCUGAACAGAUGAAACCAAGACUGAGUUAUUUGUUCCCAGCCAGAGGCGCUUUGCAUGGCGGAAAAAGAACACAGUGUUCCAGGAGAAGAACCUGCUCCUUACUGUGAAAUUUAGUGGAGGGUCCAUCAUGCUGUGGGGCUGUUUGGCAAGCACAGGUACUGGAAACCUUGUCAAAUUUGAGGGUCUUAUGGAUUCCACCCAGUAUCAGCAGAUUCUCAUGAACACUGUUCAAGAAGUUGAAGUUACGCCUGGGUUGGUUGUUUCAGCAGGACAAUGACCCAAAGCAUUGUUCCAAAUCUACCAAGGAAUUCAUGCACAGACACAGAUACAAUGUUCUAGAAUGGCCAUCCCAGUCCCCCUGACUUGAACAUCAUAGAAAAUCUAUGGAUUGAUUUGAAAAGGGCUGUCCACGCUCGCCAGCCAUCAAUCCUGACUGAACUGGAGAAAUUUUGCAAAGAAGAAUGAUUCAAAAUACCUGCAGGCAGAAUUCAAGGACUUAUCACUGGCUCUAAGAAGCAUCUACAGGCUGUUAUUUCAGCAAAAGGUGGCUCUACUAAAUAUUGAUGUCAUUAUUUCAUUGGGGUGCCCAAUUUUUUCACCUGUCUGUUUUUGUUAUGAUUUACAUUGCAUUGUGUCUGUUGAUGUUAUUUCAGAACUGAAAUGUUGCUUUUUCCAUAAGCUCUAAAUUAUAUCCAAAUGAAGUUGCUACUUCGAAAACCCAGCAGAUUAUAAAUUGAAAUUAUGAUCAUUUUCAGGGGUGCCCAAACUUUUGCAUAAAACUGUAUAUAUUUUAUUUAUAUAAACAGAUUUCCAUGAAAACUGGAAAGAAACUAAUUCAAGCAUCAAUCUCAGUCUGACCCACAUGCCUCAGACCUUAUCAUCAGAACACUCAUAAACCAACAUGUUUGCUUUGGCUUUCUCAACUUUAUCAGUGUUUACGGUCAUAUUUACACUUGCUUUUCCAAAGGUUUGCUGAAAAGAUUUCUGGCCUAUGCCAAAUGGUAUCCAUGUGCGUCUGCUUUUAAAAUGACUACAUAGCACACUUCAAGCAGAUAAUGAAAUUGAAGAUGAAUCAGUGUCAUGCUGAUAUGAUUCUCAGACACACCCACACUCAUUCAAACAAAUUGCUCAAUGCUGCAAAGUUUUUAUGAUUUAUCUUGCUGUUUUUUCGAAAACAAGGUCCAGCUUUCUUUUGAAUGGAUUCCCAGAAACAGCACCAAGCCUCUCUUUUACUCCCUUUUCAGCUUUACUGCUUUGAGAUCAGUCACACAUGGAUUUCUGGUAAACCUUAGGAAAAUCAAAAGGCUGAGAGCAGUUUACUAAAACUGAGAGAAAACAGAGCUGUUGUGACACUAUGUGAUACUGAAGGAAGAAAAAGAGGGCAAGAAAUAAAUAAAGCUCAGGGUGGAGGGGUGAAGCGGUAAAAUACCAGCAAUUACAGCCCACUUUUCUAUCUGAUGAGGAAAACAAAAGCGUUUCAGAUGGAGAAACUGUAAACCAAUCAGAAUGGAGAGCUCGCUCUGGAUAAACAUCUCUGACAGGUCUGGGAUCUGAGAAGAAAAAAAGUAAAUAGUGGAUAAUAAAGGUGUAAUAAAGCGCUUUAUUAACUGGAGUUAUGUUCCAUGUCGGAUUAUUCGCACGUGAAAGCGUACAGGUUUUUCUUUUACCAUUAAUGCUCUAAGAGAUGAAUAUUAGUAUAUGCGAAAUAACAGAAGAUCUUGUACAUUUAUCUACAGGUCCAAAAAAGAUAUAUCUUCACAAUCAGUUUUUGAGAAUCCCGGGAAAACCUGUUACACACAAUCACAAUUAAUGACUUGAGCUCGCUCUCAGAGCCUCACAGCUUAAAGAUUUCCUCCACUGGAGUAAAGGAAUGAGAAAGGUAUGUAAAACGGGUUAAACUCCCAAUGGAACCAUUUUGGGUUUCACGCUAUAGACUCUCACAGUGACUCUAUUCAUGGCUCAGAAAUAAAGCAGAACAAUUUUUUCUCGUUAUUAACACAUCCCCCCCAGACUUCACGCCAUCUGCACAUCUGUAAUGUUCCUACUAAAUCAUCAUGAAACUACAACGAGAGACACAAUAACACACACGAGCAUCAAAAGUCAGAGCAAAACUUUUUCUCUUAAAGAGUGCCAAGAAUUUUACAGCUAAAUAAGCUUUCUUUUUCCCAAUAUUGGCCUAAUAAAAUUUAUUUGGAGCUUGAGAACAACACGAUUUCUGGUUGGAUUUAUUUAAAAACAUUUUUAAAGUGUCCCUAAUUUGCCGCUGAUUUUUUUGUUAAAAAAACAUAAGCCAAUUUCUCUACAUUUUAUGUCCGUUAUUUUUUUAAAGGGUGCCAAUGAUUUUAGAGCUGACUAAUAAUUUUUUUCCCUUCUUUUUUUCCCAUUUUCUUCAAAUAAAAUGAAUUUGGAGCACUACGAUUUAUGCAAAGAAUUUAGUUGGAUUUAUUUAAAAACAUUUUUAAGGUGUCACUAAUAUCUCCCUGAUUUUUUGAUACAGAAAAUAAGCCAAUUUCUCUACAAUUUAAAGGGUGCCAAUAAUUUUGUGAGUCGCCUAUUCUAAUAAAAAAAAUAGGGGGGAUUAUUCUAAAGCACUUUGGGGUGUCAGUCAUUUUGAUUGAAACGCUGCUGUGUUAAAAUGAACCCAUACUGAAUAUUUCAAGGUGCUGUGAUACUUUUUUUUCGUCUCCUUUGUGAGAGAUGCUGACUUCAUGGCGAACCGGAUCGCCUAACAAGCGUCUGGUCAGAGUUUUUGAUCACAGGAUGGCGGAAUAAAUGUCACAGGCGGUGAAGUCUACACGAUGUAUCUGUUAGAGGAGACUCUGGAGGCGGGGGAACAGUCUGGAGAAGGCUGCUCAGGAGAUGAUAAAAGAAUUAUUUUGGAAGGCUGGAAAUAAACUUCACCCCCAAGCCACACCCACAUGUGGAACAGAUUGGCUGCACUCCUAACAGAUUGGCUCCACUCCUUUCUCCUUAAAAGGAAUCCCAUAAACCAGCUGUGGAGAGAAGGAGGUGGAGAAGGACAGGAGGUGAACAAUGCCCAUUGAGGUUUUUCUUGUGACUCCAACCUGCUGCUUCAGCUGUUCUGGAACAAUGGCAUCUGAUAAUCUCUAUAAAUAAAUCAUUCAGCUUUAAUCUUUUUCUGUCAUCAGUGACUCCAUUGAGAAAGGUUCUGAACAUCAAAGGCAUGCUUUUGCUGUGUGUCUUAUGAAGUGUGUACUGACCCUCACACUACUGGACUUACAGUAGUGUCUUUAUAACUCUUGACCUGAUAUUAAUUCAUCAAAUUCUUCUCGUCUGCUCACAGGGAACAUUUCCAUCAUUUUUUGUUUCAGCAUCACGUUUACGUUAAUGCUUUUCCGUAUUUUCUCCUAUGAUUUUCAUUUUCCUUCAUGACCUCCUCAAAUCAGUCGGACACACACACACACACAAAAAGUGCUAUUAUUAUUUUUAGCCACUGUGUAAUUAACUGCAUUUGUCUCCACCCACUUUAUCAUCUUGGCCUCUUUCAUGGUCCAGGUCUUCGCUGAGUAGGUCCUCAUCCCGCUCUUCCGCCUCCGUGCUCGGAGAAGAGCUUCGUCUCUGUAACGAGGUCUCUUCAUCAGACGGGCCGUACUCCUUCACGUUGUUCUCUCUGUUGCUAGGAGAUGGACUGGAGCGUGUGGAUGAGGUCAUGCGAUCAUCAGGUGCUCCUGUCUAAGAGGACGAGCCAUCAGCGAGGACAAUUACAGCAGAAGAUUAUGCUCUGUAAUACAGAUUAUCCUCUGUAUUUGGGAUCUAAGUAAAUGAUGACAUCAGAGUUUUGGAUAUGAAGAGGAAGAGGAAGAUUAAGAAGAGUUGAAGGAUGUCAGUUUGAGAGUGAGAUUUCCCACCUGAUCUACAGGAAGCUCCACAGCCGUGCUCUCAUCCUCAGCCACCUCCUCAGCUCCUCGCACCUCCUCUCUCCUCCGCCCUACCCCCUUAAACACACUUGCUUGGCCUGCAGGAGACACACACAAGAUUUUUCUCUCUAAAACCCACAUGACUUAUGCAACUCAAUUAUAACUAAGAUUUCUUAUUAAGAAACAUUGCUGAAUUUAUUUCUCUUCUGUGAUCCCUCUCUUCCUCUCUACAGAAUAAGGCGUGGCCUCUACACCCAUCAGUCCCAGUAAAAGAGGCAUGGCCUGUGUGUCCGUCAGUCCCAGUGAAAGAGGUGUGGCCUGUGCGUGCGUCAGUCCUAGUGAAAGAGGUGUGGCCUGUGUGUCCCUCAGUCCCAGUGAAAGUGGCAUGGCCUGUGUGUGUGUCAGUCCCAGUGAAAGUGGCAUGGCCUGUGUGUUUCAGUCCAAGUGAAAGAGGUGUGGCCUGUCUCUGUCAGUCCCUGUGAAGGAGGCGUGGCCUUUACACCCAUCAGUUCCAGUGAAAGAGGUGUGGCCUGCUCGUACCUGUGCCUCUGGGUGCAACUCUGUGUGGGGGUCUGUGUUUGCGCACUUGGACGGGUUUGGCAUAAAAAUUGGAGUGCUCCUCUCUUUCCCUUCCUCCUUCUCUCCUCCUCUGCAGCUGCUGAGACAGAUUCUCUCCCUCCGCCUCGGCCUCGUCUCCCGUGGACUUCACACGCCUGCCGUCCCUCUGAGACACACAGCGGUCAGCUAAACACUAAAACGUCACUGCACAAACUAUUUGAAUAAAAGGAAGGAACUAAAAAAUGUACACUGGGGUGCAAAAAUCCUAGACUGCUUCCUAGGGUUCAUCUUACCUCUGAUGAGUGAAGGAGGGCGGAGUCACUGUUGCUGUCCUGAGGAAACUUCCUGUUCUGUGAAAAUAAACAGGAUUUGCUCAAUGACUCUCAGUGUAACUACGAUGCAAUAUAAAAGUAAUCUUGAGAAGGUGCUGCUUUACCUCUGACCUCCUGUGCAGGCCACGAUCUGCCACGUAGUGUCUAAAACAAACACAAUGAUCUGUCAGCCAUUUUACCCACCAGCAUCAUCAUCAUCGUCAUCCUCAUCCUCCUCGUCCUCACCUGUCUGCACUGCCACCAGGCGCUUUGUUCAGCAGCAGCUCCACGUACGGAAGUUUCUUGAAGCGCUCGGCUCCGACGGCUACGUAACACUGUCCGCUCUCCAGCUCCUCGGCCGAUGUCACCGUCACACCGUCCAGAGUGCACAGCCUGAGAUGUCAAGGUUACAUGAAAGCAUUAAAAAAAAUCCAAAACAACCGUAUACUAGAGUCUGCACACAUGCGUAGGUAUGUGUUUACCUGCGAACAGCGCCGGUGCGCAGCAUGGCUUUCUCUGAGACCAGGCUGAGAAUCUGCUCCAGGUUUUUCAGGACGCUUCGAGGGAUGAUGAAGCGCAUGGCGGGACUGAGGACGUCCCCGUUCCUGAACACACUGCACAGAGACAGGGUGUGUGUCAGCAUGUGGCAUGUGUACCGAGAGACCCCUGACACGUCGAGGCAUGGACUCCACUAGAUCCCUGAAGGUGUGCUGUGGUAUCUGGCACCAAGACGUUGGCAGCAGAUCCUUUAAGAUUUUAAGGAUACUUACACGACUGUUCCUUCCUUGGACCACUUUUGAUAGAUACUGACCACUGCAGACCGGGAAUACCCCACAAGAGCUGCAGUUUCUAUCCGCCAUCGCAAUUCGUCCCUUCGUCAAACUCAAAGCUCAAAUCCUUAUACUUGUCCAUUUUUCCUGCUUCUAACACAUCAACUUUGAGGACAAAAUGUUCACUUGCUGCCUAAUAAAUCCCACCCACUAACAGGUGCCAUGAUGAGGCGAUCAUCAGUCUUAUUCACCUCACCUCGCACUGGUCAUAAUGUUAUGCCUGAUCGGUGUAUAAUACUUUACUGAAUUUCCUUUACAUUUUUCUGUCAAAAAAAUGACAUCCCUAAGGAACAAUACAGUGAUGCUUUUCAGCUGUGGGUGCCAAUAAUUCUGAAGGGCACUGUUUAUUAAAAUAAUGAUGAUAAAGUACAGGAUAAAAGACUAAGGAAGCCCCUUUAUUGUCUGUAGUAGUGAGUGUGUGUGUGUGUGUGUGUUACUCACUGUAUAAUGCAGGGCAGAGUUAUAACCUUCCUCCAUUUUGCGGACACGUUGGGUCUGUUGAUUCCUCUAGCCUGAGGAGAGAGAGACGGACACAAAGGUGUAAAGCGGACCGGAAACCUGGAACGGAUCACGAGUCUCAGACAAAAGCCGUCUCGUUACGCAUCUCACCCUCAGCUCCUAUCUCAUGUACCUGCAAAUCAAUCAGUACUACAAAAGACAAUCCUGUCAGAGUGUCUGCAGGAUUCCUGUGAAGGAAACACAACACCUCGUCUCGGCGCCGGCGCUGAUUAAACAGGUCAGUGAACGGCUGUAGGAGCAGAGUGGGAACUUAAAUUAUUCAAAUAAUUAAUACCCAUCAUACCCCAGAGAGCAGGCAGCUGUCUUUUCACCCUGCUGGGAUUAAAUUUGGAAUCUUGGAUCACAGAAGAAGUCCAUUCAUUCAGGACUUGGCUUUCGUUUACAAUGUGCCUGAGUUUAAGACUGUGUUGUAACGAGCAUACCAUUAAAUAAAAAAAUUAAUUAAAAGCUA